GCUAUGGGCCAGUCUGGCAGCAGGAAUGCAGUGCUGGGCACAAAAUUGUAAUUUCUUUCUUAGUUUGUUGUUAUUUUUUAUAUUUAUGAGGAAAAGUAGCCCUCACCCAGCACCCUAAGCACUACAGUCAGGACUCACCUCUGCUCCAAGCCACGGGCACCAACCAGCCGCCAUUAAAAUCGCCAGGAAGGAGCUGUGCAGCAACUUGCAGGACAGAGAUCCAGUUUCAAGUGGGUUCCUGGCAAGGAAGAUGAGCCUAUAGACACCAACAGACACAGCUGAACACAGUUAAAAGCUACAGGUUUUGCUACCUCAUGAAGAGCUGUAAACUGCUGAAACAACAGAUUUUAAGAAGCAGCCUAAAGAAACAUCUAACAAGCUUCAGAAAGUGCUGCCCACUUAAAUUCACCUUCUGCUUCCAAACAGAAAAAAGGUAUACAUCACAAAAGACAGCAUAUAACACGAACCGAUACAGAUGCAUCUGCGCUGUCCUAACAGGAAUUGAGUAUUAUGCUUCAGAGUUUCCUCCCAGCAUAACCUGGGCCAGAAAUAAUUCACAAGCAUUGCCAAAGGGCAGGACAGCACUAAUGCAGCUGACAGGACGCUGCUUCUCCAACUAGUUUAAGGAAGAUCAAUUUUAAAUUUCCAUACAAAGCCUGAGACAUAGCCAGGAUGAGAUCCAAAUUUCUUAUGCCGUAAAGCACUGGGCCAUGCUAGUUCUCCUGAAAGCACUCCCAAGGGAGGAGAAGGAUGGUUAUGAUGCUUGGAAGAAGAGAUGUAGUUGUGGGAGUCAUCUGUAUUAUUCUAUGCCAAGACACACACUGGAAUUCACUCCUAUUUGCACAUAGCUGAAGAUGCUGAUGAGACUGGGAGUGCUCCCCUCCAAGAGGAAGAUGAGCCACGCAAAUGCACCCUUAUUCCAGAAUCCUGCAUGCUUAUGCCUGUGUGCAGCCUCAUGCAGAUCACCACUGCUCCAUCUAGAAAGUUGGACUGCUAACAACAUAGCAAUGCAGGCUUUCAAACUCUGGCCCCCGGUUUUAUUUCAUCCUCUAGUUGAUUUUAAAUGAUUUAGAGCUGCGCAUGUAAGAUUUCAGAAUGGAGAAAUUUCCUCAUGGGCAGAGUCCCAAAUCCUUCCCAGCCCACGUGCCCACCGUGACUGAGAAGCUCUGCAAGGGGCUGCCUCACGCUGUGGGUCUGCCUGCCGAUGCUGCUACCUGACCUAGAGGCACUUCUCCCUGCCCAGUGGCCUUCUGAGCAGGAACACUUGCUUCCACAGGCGCUGGCCUGGGGACAGAUCUCUCCAGCCACCCACUGAUGUUUCAGGUCAAUAAGGCUGAACCUGAAGAAGUAACUUUUCAUGGAAGAGGUAGAAUUGAGUUUACUGAGUGCUUUGUAAAUUUUUUAUAGGGGGUUUGAAAACUAAGUAUUUCAAAAAGGAAAUCUUGCACUUUGGAUGUUAAAAAGAUACAAGUUAAAAAUAUGCAUUGUAUUUUACUGUAAUAGAAAUUUGUGAUUUUAAGUAUUCAAGCUAGUAUUGUGGAUUUUGAAGUAACAUCAUUUGUUAUGAGAGCACCUGAAAAAAGUACAUAAAUCUAAUCUUGCCAAGAAACAGCCUGUCACUAUCGCUUAAAAAGGUGCUGGAAACAAAUCUCACAUGCAGAGCUGCUGGCCUGUAGAGUGCUUUUAAUAACAGAUUGACAGAUACUGCGCUUCAAAAACAGACUACAUUUUAUUACAAUAGCUUGACUUAUAAGUAAGAAACCACAUGUCAGAUAACGCUACUGAUGUUGCUCUAAAAUUAAAGACAGAAGUUGGAACGCUUUCUAAAUCCAGCUUCUCUAGAUGUGUCAAAUUCAUACCACAAGGCUUCCAAGAUUAAUUUAACCUUUAGCCUGCUUCAGGUACUGUCUGAUCUUGAAAUGGAAAUUUGGCCAUAUUAACAUUCAUGCUUACAUUUGACAUUCAUGAGAGUUUCUUCUAUCUGAAAUUAAGUGGAAUAUUCAAUGUGCAUAGUUGAGAUAAUAUUCAAAUGAUUAGAAACCUUUUCUUUAUCUCAAAGCAGCACUAAAAUCCACCCUUACCACUGUUUGGUAGGGAGAACAAUGAACUUCACAAAAGGCCUUGCUUAUUUGGCUUCCUUUGAGUAUCAGUACCAGACAUGGGAUAGAACUAAGUCUUAUACAGUGCUACAAGAUCCAGGCACUCAUGCUGAACACUGGCACGUCAUCUGCCUGAAAAUAUUGGCUUUGCAUUCCUGAAAUUACAAAUUUAAUUUCUGCUAGCCAGGAAACACCCUGCCCCUACACAACCUGCAGUGAACAUCAGAUUUUUGCAGGGUCCUUACUGCUGCUUACUUCAAAAAUCCUCACUUCUCUGAAGCUUUAACAUCCACAUCGGUUACUCAGCACUUCAAGCGCUAUGAGGAAUGCCUUCUGGAAAUAACAAAAACAUUCUACUGCCAAAGCUCUACUCUGUCUGUCAAUCUGAAAAUACCUCCCCUUAUGCUCUUUGUGAGAUAGGGAGGAGUAAAAUGCUUCACAUUUAGGUCAGCUUUAUCUAAAGUUUCAAAACCCUUUGCACCCUGAAGAACUGAAGCUUAGGAUGACAAUUACUUUAUUUGAUUUGAAUGUAGGCUUCUAUUGAAUCCUUUAGGUCCAUGGCUGCUUAGUACUUCUACAAGUCAUGGUAUAACCACUGUUCUUCUCCUCCCUCCCAACAAGAACCCUAACAAACAAAAAAAACCCACAAAGUGUCUGUAGGAGCAGGUAAGCAGAUCCACGCAUGUAUCCACUAGUCCCUGUCACUAUCCAUCAAGCUUUAUGACUCAAGAUCAGGUCACUUACAAAAGCAGAUGCAACCGAAUCUCUUCGGUUAUACUCCACCAUCAAUCAGCCAGGAAGCGAUAAGCACUGCAGCAGCAGCACCAGGUUUAGGGCUGUUGCUCCCCCAGCUCCCUUUGCACAAGGGGACGCGUUUACCUGUUUAGGUGUUGCUCACACUGUGCUCUGUGGCCCUCCAGGUGCUCCAAAAAAGCAGCAUGCAGGUCUUUCCAAGUUAAACCAUGGCCUACUGGAAUUUAAAGCAAGACCUGGACACUUGGUUGAGGAAAAAGUUUUCAGUAGCCUGUUACAUAUUUAACAGCAAUUUACUGAUCUCCACCAUUUACAAAAACCUGACUGAAAACAUCACGUACCUGUAAAUUACAUAUAGCCAAGUUCCUCACCGCAGUAUGUAUCAGACACCUGCCAACAUACACCUCACCCAAGGCCCCACCAGGCCUCUUACACAGCACAAAGCUUCACAGUUGAAAUAACCUCAUCCACUGCAUCCCCUCUGUAACUGAGGCAAACAUCUAUUUGCUGGUCAGGUCCACUGCAAGAACACCAGAUUUAAGUGGAUUACAGUCUCAGAGUCACAGUCUCAGAGAAGCUGGGUGUCUUCUCUUCCCCACUCCAAUCCAUUACAAGACCUGAAGCUCUUUCAGAGGGCAUAA